rnacentral:snoRNA from 1 species
AGAUCAAUGAUGAGCGCAAUUGUCUGGGGAUCCUGAGGGAUUGAUUCCAGAUGUCAAUCUGAGGUCC